rnacentral:rRNA from 1 species
GGUUAAGCGACUAAGCGUACACGGUGGAUGCCCUGGCAGUCAGAGGCGAUGAAGGACGUGCUAAUCUGCGAUAAGCGUCGGUGAGGUGAUAUGAACCGUUAUAACCGGCGAUUUCCGAAUGGGGAAACCCAGUGUGUUUCGACACACUAUCAUUAACUGAAUCCAUAGGUUAAUGAGGCGAACCGGGGGAACUGAAACAUCUAAGUACCCCGAGGAAAAGAAAUCAACCGAGAUUCCCCCAGUAGCGGCGAGCGAACGGGGAGGAGCCCAGAGCCUGAAUCAGUGUGUGUGUUAGUGGAAGCGUCUGGAAAGGCGUGCGAUACAGGGUGACAGCCCCGUACACAAAAAUGCACAUACUGUGAGCUCGAUGAGUAGGGCGGGACACGUGGUAUCCUGUCUGAAUAUGGGGGGACCAUCCUCCAAGGCUAAAUACUCCUGACUGACCGAUAGUGAACCAGUACCGUGAGGGAAAGGCGAAAAGAACCCCGGCGAGGGGAGUGAAAAAGAACCUGAAACCGUGUACGUACAAGCAGUGGGAGCCUCUUAAUGGGGUGACUGCGUACCUUUUGUAUAAUGGGUCAGCGACUUAUAUUCUGUAGCAAGGUUAACCGAAUAGGGGAGCCGAAGGGAAACCGAGUCUUAACUGGGCGUUAAGUUGCAGGGUAUAGACCCGAAACCCGGUGAUCUAGCCAUGGGCAGGUUGAAGGUUGGGUAACACUAACUGGAGGACCGAACCGACUAAUGUUGAAAAAUUAGCGGAUGACUUGUGGCUGGGGGUGAAAGGCCAAUCAAACCGGGAGAUAGCUGGUUCUCCCCGAAAGCUAUUUAGGUAGCGCCUCGUGAAUUCAUCUCCGGGGGUAGAGCACUGUUUCGGCAAGGGGGUCAUCCCGACUUACCAACCCGAUGCAAACUGCGAAUACCGGAGAAUGUUAUCACGGGAGACACACGGCGGGUGCUAACGUCCGUCGUGAAGAGGGAAACAACCCAGACCGCCAGCUAAGGUCCCAAAGUCAUGGUUAAGUGGGAAACGAUGUGGGAAGGCCCAGACAGCCAGGAUGUUGGCUUAGAAGCAGCCAUCAUUUAAAGAAAGCGUAAUAGCUCACUGGUCGAGUCGGCCUGCGCGGAAGAUGUAACGGGGCUAAACCAUGCACCGAAGCUGCGGCAGCGACACUAUGUGUUGUUGGGUAGGGGAGCGUUCUGUAAGCCUGUGAAGGUGGCCUGUGAGGGUUGCUGGAGGUAUCAGAAGUGCGAAUGCUGACAUAAGUAACGAUAAAGCGGGUGAAAAGCCCGCUCGCCGGAAGACCAAGGGUUCCUGUCCAACGUUAAUCGGGGCAGGGUGAGUCGACCCCUAAGGCGAGGCCGAAAGGCGUAGUCGAUGGGAAACAGGUUAAUAUUCCUGUACUUGGUGUUACUGCGAAGGGGGGACGGAGAAGGCUAUGUUGGCCGGGCGACGGUUGUCCCGGUUUAAGCGUGUAGGCUGGUUUUCCAGGCAAAUCCGGAAAAUCAAGGCUGAGGCGUGAUGACGAGGCACUACGGUGCUGAAGCGACAAAUGCCCUGCUUCCAGGAAAAGCCUCUAAGCAUCAGGUAACAUCAAAUCGUACCCCAAACCGACACAGGUGGUCAGGUAGAGAAUACCAAGGCGCUUGAGAGAACUCGGGUGAAGGAACUAGGCAAAAUGGUGCCGUAACUUCGGGAGAAGGCACGCUGAUAUGUAGGUGAAGCGACUUGCUCGUGGAGCUGAAAUCAGUCGAAGAUACCAGCUGGCUGCAACUGUUUAUUAAAAACACAGCACUGUGCAAACACGAAAGUGGACGUAUACGGUGUGACGCCUGCCCGGUGCCGGAAGGUUAAUUGAUGGGGUUAGCGGUAACGCGAAGCUCUUGAUCGAAGCCCCGGUAAACGGCGGCCGUAACUAUAACGGUCCUAAGGUAGCGAAAUUCCUUGUCGGGUAAGUUCCGACCUGCACGAAUGGCGUAAUGAUGGCCAGGCUGUCUCCACCCGAGACUCAGUGAAAUUGAACUCGCUGUGAAGAUGCAGUGUACCCGCGGCAAGACGGAAAGACCCCGUGAACCUUUACUAUAGCUUGACACUGAACAUUGAGCCUUGAUGUGUAGGAUAGGUGGGAGGCUUUGAAGUGUGGACGCCAGUCUGCAUGGAGCCGACCUUGAAAUACCACCCUUUAAUGUUUGAUGUUCUAACGUGGGCCCCUUACCGGGGUUGCGGACAGUGUCUGGUGGGUAGUUUGACUGGGGCGGUCUCCUCCUAAAGAGUAACGGAGGAGCACGAAGGUUGGCUAAUCCUGGUCGGACAUCAGGAGGUUAGUGCAAUGGCAUAAGCCAGCUUGACUGCGAGCGUGACGGCGCGAGCAGGUGCGAAAGCAGGUCAUAGUGAUCCGGUGGUUCUGAAUGGAAGGGCCAUCGCUCAACGGAUAAAAGGUACUCCGGGGAUAACAGGCUGAUACCGCCCAAGAGUUCAUAUCGACGGCGGUGUUUGGCACCUCGAUGUCGGCUCAUCACAUCCUGGGGCUGAAGUAGGUCCCAAGGGUAUGGCUGUUCGCCAUUUAAAGUGGUACGCGAGCUGGGUUUAGAACGUCGUGAGACAGUUCGGUCCCUAUCUGCCGUGGGCGCUGGAGAACUGAGGGGGGCUGCUCCUAGUACGAGAGGACCGGAGUGGACGCAUCACUGGUGUUCGGGUUGUCAUGCCAAUGGCACUGCCCGGUAGCUAAAUGCGGAAGAGAUAAGUGCUGAAAGCAUCUAAGCACGAAACUUGCCCCGAGAUGAGUUCUCCCUGACUCCUUGAGAGUCCUGAAGGAACGUUGAAGACGACGACGUUGAUAGGCCGGGUGUGUAAGCGCAGCGAUGCGUUGAGCUAACCGGUACUAAUGAACCGUGAGGCUUAACCUU